AAUCAAUGAUGAAAAUAGACAAUUCUGAGCAUCAGAAGACCUUCUAAUUUGCCUGAUGCAUGAUCCCUAUAGUUCUGAAA
rnacentral:snoRNA from 10 species